AUGCCAGACUCCUACGGGAGGCAGCAGUGGGGAAUAUUGGGCAAUGGGCGCAAGCCUGACCCAGCAACGCCGCGUGAAGGAAGAAGGCUUUCGGGUUGUAAACUUCUUUUAAGAGGGAAGAGCAGAAGACGGUACCUCUUGAAUAAGCCACGGCUAACUACGUGCCAGCAGCCGCGGUAAUAUGUAGGUGGCAAGCGUUGUCCGGAUUUACUGGGUGUAAGGGGCGUGUAGCCGGGCUGACAAGUCAGAUGUGAAAUUCCGGGGCUCAACCCCGGACCUGCAUUUGAAACUGUUGAUCUUGAGUACUGGAGAGGCAGACGGAAUUCCUAGUGUAGCGGUGAAAUGCGUAGAUAUUAGGAGGAACACCAGUGGCGAAGGCGGUCUGCUGGACAGCAACUGACGGUGAGGCGCGAAAGCGUGGGGAGCAAACAGGAUUAGAUACCCGCGUA
rnacentral:rRNA from 1 species